UCCGAAAGACAGGAAGAGUUAAUACCUCUGCCCUUGCCCAGACCCCCAGAAGAUUCCGUGAUGCCCGGUAGUUGCUAGCAAGGGUCUUGGCUCUGGAUGCCUUUGGCUCAGGGUAAAGGAGUUAGCACAUAGGAAAAGAUCCAGCCGAGUGGCUUCUGGAUUCGGGGUUGACCUGGCAGGAUUCCCAGGACUGUGCUAGACCCCAUCAACACCGCCCAUUACCGCAGUUUUCCAUCCUUUUUUCCCCUCCCCUUUCCCUCCGGCUCCCCAAUGCUCCCCCCUUCCCAGACCGGCCCCACUCUCUGAGCCGCCUCCUCUCUCAGUCAUUUCCCCUUCUCCGACCCAAAGACCUUGGCUCUCCCUUCCCUCUGGCUGGAAGGAGAAGAAGGGCAAACUGGCUUUGGGAACUAGGCACAUCUAGUUGUGCCAUCUUCAGCCAAAGCCCACCAGAUCCAUCCUGUAAAGACACACGCCUGAAUUGUCAUCCCCCCCACCAUAAAAAAUGAAACAAAGAGAAAACUGUCAACAGUUUGGUGAGUAUCCUUACAAUCACCUUUCUAUGCAAUUAUAUGAAUAAAUAAGUCCUUAUACCAUAUAUAACUCAUAGAUAUCAUAUAUAUAGCUUUUAAAUCUCUUAUUGAUUGACUUAAUUACACAACACACAAACACAUUUUUUCUUUUAGCGGAUUAGAAUGUUACAGGGAAGGCUAAAGCCUCCUUUGGUCGUCUUCGAUUUCCUCCCUGAUUCUCCCUGUCCCUAUUUACUGUUGGACUUAACUUCUUCCAGACCUCUUUUUCUGUUUCUCUGCUACACACACACACACACACACGCACACACACACGCAGAGAAUAUAUAGUAUUAUUUAGUGUUAUUAUAAGAAUGGGAAUUCUAACAUGUAUACUGUCAUGUAGGAGUUGAAUCGCCAGUCCAUGUCUGACGUAGGGUGCAGCAUGCUUGGGGCUGG
rnacentral:lncRNA from 1 species